GUGCCUAACACAUGCAAGUCGAACGCGAAAAUCCCGCAAGGGAUCUGUAGAGUGGCAAACGGGUGAGUAACACGUGGGUGACCUGCCUUCGAGUGGGGGAUAACGUCCCGAAAGGGACGCUAAUACCGCAUGACAUCCUGCCUUUGAACAGGUGGAGAUCAAAGCUGGGGAUCGCAAGACCUAGCGCUUGGAGAGGGGCCCGCGCCUGAUUAGCUAGUUGGUGAGGUAACGGCUCACCAAGGCAACGAUCAGUAUCCGGCCUGAGAGGGCGGACGGACACACUGGGACUUUUACACGGCCCAG
rnacentral:rRNA from 1 species